AUGGAGUGGGGCUGGAUCAUUCUCUUCCUCACGUCAGCAACUACAGGUGUCCACUCCCAGGUACAGCUGCAGCAGUCUGGGCCUGAGCUUGUAAAGCCUGGGACCUCAGUGAAAUUGUCCUGCAGGACCUCUGAUGAUAUCACUGAGUACUAUAUUACCUGUGUGAAGCAGAAGCCUACACAAGGCCUGGAGUGGAUUGGAGAUAUUGAUCCUGGAAAUGGUAAUACUGACUACAAUGAGAAGUUUCAGGGCAAGGCCACACUGACUGCAGACACAUCCUCCAACACAGCCUACAUGGAGCUCAGCAGCCUGACUCCUGAAGAGGCUAUUACUGUGCAACACACAGUGUUGCAACCACAUCCUGAGCAUAGCCCUGGUCAGAACCUGGGGUGGAUUGGAAAUAUUGAUCCCGAUGAAGAUGAUGAAACUUAUUAUGCUCAGAAUUUCCAGGGCAAGGCAAUAAUUAUUGCAGACUCGUCCUCCAACACAGUCUAUUUGGAGCUCAGAAGCCUGACUUCUGAAGACUCUGCAGUCUAUUACUGUGCAACACACAGUGUUGCAACCACAAUCUGA